AGUGGCGUGGCUACACCGUGGCCUCAAGGAGCCAGUCCUGCCCGGAUGGGGCUCGCCGGAUCGGUUUCGGUUUUCACGCACUCCCAUUUCUGUGGCCGCUGUGCAUUCGCGGUACUGUGCCCUGGCCGCCACCAGGACGUUUAUUCCUGAGCUAGAGGCCGGCGGGGAGUAACGAGGCAGAGAGGUUGAGGAAUCUGGGAAGACUGCAGAAACCUAAGGGCCGGCCUAUCCUUAGUCGUAGAGACAAGGCCCUGCGGAUCGCGCCGCCAGGCCACCCAGAGGAGGGACUCACCUGCCAGGAAAGCUAGCUGCAGCGCCUGCGCCCUAACUUCGUCCGCCUCUCUGGCACACCAGUGCCCUUAGAGACCAUAGAGGCCAACUUCCACCCGUUACCGACGGGCCCUCUGCUGCCCAGAGUGGGGAAAGUCCCUCCCCACAGUUACCCAGCCUGCCGGCGACAAGGGCCAAUUUGGAAUCCAGAGCCCCGGGCUCCCUUUCCAGGAUUGCUUUCACUUUUCUUCUCUGAGAUGAUACCUGUUUCCAUAGUUUGACCCUCACCCAAAUUUCGCACCUUCUAUGGAAUGUGGAGGGAAUCCCCAAGGUCUCCAGAGUCCCCCUUCCCCCAUCCUUUGUGAGCCUGGCUUUCGGCAGGCCUUUUUCCUUGAAAAGUCUAAAUAUUGAGAGGAAAAUCUUGUCUGGGCCCAAACCGGAGGUCAGGCUGAGGACAAAGUGAGGAGGCCUGUACCAGCCUUGUCUGCUACUGUGUGUGGGAUGUGGCAGGGAGCCCGGCGAACUUGGGUCUCUAGCCUAAGGACAUUAAGUGGCAUCAGUGGCUGCCAGGGCCAGGAGUGUUCUCUGCUGCUUCUGGGUCCUGACAGUCUUGAAAAGAUCCAGCUGCUGAACUGGUAAGAGGUGGACUGCUGCCUCUGCAUGUGUAGAGCACAGGAACUGACAUGGCUGCUAGGGAUCUGACUCUAGCUCUACCUCAGACUUGCUGGACACCUUGGCCAAUUCAUUUUUUUCUCUGGGCCAGGGCAUCACCCCACCUCCACAAGGAGAGGGUAAGCAUCAUCAGGCUCCCUUGAUAUCUUUGAGAUCUGACAGUUCAACUCAUUUUUUUCUAUAAUAUUCCAUGAUCUUCCACGGAAUAUUAUAGAAAAUAUAGAUGUUCCAUGACCUUCCAUGGCAUUCUAUACAUUGCCAACAAAAAUCAAUAUUGAAC
rnacentral:lncRNA from 10 species